UACGGGGGGGGCAAGCGUUGUUCGGAAUUACUGGGCGUAAAGGGCUCGUAGGCGGCCAACUAAGUCAGACGUGAAAUCCCUCGGCUUAACCGGGGAACUGCGUCUGAUACUGGAUGGCUUGAGUUGGGAGAGGAUCGCGGAAUUCCCGGUGUAGAGGUGAAAUUCGUAGAUAUCGGGAGGAACACCAGUGGCGAAGGCGGCGAUCUGGGAAGAUACUGACGCUGAGGUGCGAAAGCGUGGGGAGCAAACAGG
rnacentral:rRNA from 1 species